rnacentral:rRNA from 1 species
CCUACGGGAGGCAGCAGUGGGGAAUUUUGGACAAUGGGCGCAAGCCUGAUCCAGCAGUGCCGCGUGAGUGAAGAAGGCCUUCGGGUUGUAAAGCUCUUUUGUCAGGGAAGAAACGGUGGAGGUUAAUACCUUCUGCUAAUGACGGUACCUGAAGAAUAAGCACCGGCUAACUACGUGCCAGCAGCCGCGGUAAUACGUAGGGUGCAAGCGUUAAUCGGAAUUACUGGGCGUAAAGCGUGCGCAGGCGGUUGUGCAAGACAGAUGUGAAAUCCCCGGGCUCAACCUGGGAAUUGCAUUUGUGACUGUACGGCUAGAGUGUGUCAGAGGGGGGUAGAAUUCCACGUGUAGCAGUGAAAUGCGUAGAGAUGUGGAGGAAUACCGAUGGCGAAGGCAGCCCCCUGGGAUAACACUGACGCUCAUGCACGAAAGCGUGGGGAGCAAACAGGAUUAGAUACCCUGGUAGUCCACGCCCUAAACGAUGUCUACUAGUUGUCGGGUCUUAAUUGACUUGGUAACGCAGCUAACGCGUGAAGUAGACCGCCUGGGGAGUACGGUCGCAAGAUUAAAACUCAAAGGAUUGACGGCUGAGACAGACGAGACGACGACGAGGGAGGAGG